GCAUUUCUGAGGAACCAGUGGUGGACUUGUGGCACAGCGUUUGCUCCAACUGCGAACUGUGAAAUAUCAAUCAGUGCCAGAGGCUUUGAGGAGGAGGUUUGAGACACACAUGCACAAGAAAAAAGAGAAACCCAGCCAUUAUCCCCUCCUGUGUGAAACAGGCUCUGUGUUCUUCAACAGAAGCAACAGAUAUUGCAGGAAAUGCUCUUCAAAGAUUUCCUGCCAGCAUUCUUCAGCUCAAGCUGGAGAUAUUAUUAUAUGCCCGGAUCUCACUCAGAGAAAGCUGCUGGUGAGUCACACAGCAAUCUAUAAUGUAAUCAGUAAUGGCAGCAGCCAGGAAGGCAGUGUGACUCAUUCUUCACAGUACACCCAGAGGAGAAGUGAAGCCACAUCCACACUCAAACCUGCCAUACCUGUAACAUCCUGAGUGGAGCCCUCAUGUUUGCAGGAACCUCUAAACGCUUGAUAAAUUACAGACACCCUGUGACAGUGAUAACAUUCACAAAGGCACUAGGAGCCGAGGCUUUUCUGUCCGUUUAUCUGUGUGCCUCAGAUAAGACAAAAGGGACACAAUCAUUUAGAGGAGGCCACUUGCUUGACUCUUUUUAAUUCAUUCAGUUCUCAAGGCUCCACUGUAGUAUCUAUUGACCUGUAGUUCAUGAAAUCAACUGUUUGUUUUGUGUCCACGCCAGUGGCUGGGAG